rnacentral:rRNA from 1 species
UACAGAGGGUGCAAGCGUUAAUCGGAAUUACUGGGCGUAAAGCGUGCGUAGACGGUUAUGUAAGUCGGGUGUGAAAGCCCCGGGCUCAACCUGGGAAUUGCAUUCGAGACUGUGUAGCUAGGGUACGGAAGAGGGAAACGGAAUUUCAGGUGUAGCGGUGAAAUGCGUAGAUAUCUGAAGGAACACCAGUGGCGAAAGCGGCUUCCUGGUCCAGUACCGACGUUCAGGCACGAAAGCGUGGGGAGCAAACAGG